GGUUCGGUUCCCAGCACCCACAUACAGGAGCUCCAACGACCUCUUCUGACUCCAUAGGCGCUGGAACUCCAUCUGACAGUCCUGGACUAGUAGAUUCCUGCAAAAACCUUUUUCACAUUUCAACACUUUUCAAGAGUUCAUCGUGACCAAACCAUAAUAGAAGGUUCGGAAGGGACACUAGAGCUCUGCUGGAGGAGGACUUUGGGAAACAGCACUAUUCAAGAGCUGUAAUCGAGCUAAAAGCACAAUUUAAUUAAACACACACAUGAGACUUACCCAUACUCCAGAGUAUGCCAAUUUAAAUAUCCCAUUAAAAGAGCUAUUCUUAAUGACUGAGCUUUGGGGGGCAGUGUCUUGGAAUUUCCAACCCCAAUAAGCCUAUCUUAAAAAAAAAAAAAAAAACCACGUAAUCCAGUUAUUAUAAGUAUAAGAUAUAAGCCUAGAUUGGGCAGAUCUAACACUAUACUAACAUUCCCCAGCUAUAAGACCCCUUGCUACUUGUGGUUUCUCCUGGCCACGUGGUUCUGCUCCAACAUGGCUAUUGUCCUCACUGUCUUCCUUCCUCCUCUCGUCCUCCCUCUUCCCUACUUGUGCCCAUUCUCAGAGAUCUCCCGUUCUUCCUAUCCCACCACUGCCCAAAAAACGGGCUCUCGCCUUUAUUGACCAGUUAAAAUGGGAAGGUUCGCAGGACUUCACCUGCUGCGACUGCUCUAGGGGGCAACCCCUCUGGAGGAAGCAGAAUUAACAUCAGAAUACAAACAGCACCAGGACAACCCACAACCAAGCAGGAUUUAAACUGUGAGCCUAAGAUAAAUGGCUCUCUGCCUACCCUUUAGCCCCAAUCUUGUGAAUUCAUAAAGAGCUAAGGGUUAUCAUAACUGAGGAUCACUGAGGGGCUCCUAGAAGAGAUGAACCUUUCCUUCUCCAUGCUGUUGACAGCAUACUUAAGGGUAGCGAAAUCGACAAAGGAGAAUUUAAUUCCCUCACUGGGAAUUUUUUUUUUCCCAGUUUAUGUGUGCACAUUGAAAAACUCUUAGGUAACAGAUGUUGAAGUGGCCCCCACCCUCCCCCAUGGUUCCUACUGCAAAAUCGUUAUCCUCCACAAUUACACAAAAUAUAUAUUUUAGUGCUUUGAACACGUGGACCCCACUUAGAACCUCGUUGGCAGUGCUGCCUUGGGAGGCUUAGGAGAUGUACUUGUUCCUUGUUGGAGGAAGUACGUCACUAGGGGUAGGCUUUGAGAGUUUAAAGAUGCAUGCCAUUCCCAGUUCACUUUGUAUGAACACAAUCAAGUGUGUCUCUGCUUCCUGUAAGAUAAACGCUCUCAGUUUGCUGCUCCAAAUGCCAGCUGCCUGCUGCCAUGCCUCCCCAGCAUGACUGUGCCUAUCCCUCUGCAACUGUAAAACCAAAGAAACUCUUCUGUCAGUUGCCUUGGUCAUGGUGAUUUAUCACAGCAAUAGAAAAUAAACUAAUACAAUAUUGCUGGAAGAAA